GUUGCCUGCUGCUGCCUUGCUAUCUAUCUAUACACCGCCCGCACCUUCCAUUCCUCCUCCUCCGAAGCAGCAGGCAGCAGCUGCAUCGCACCUCACACCUCUCGUGUCCAUCGAUCCAGCCGCCCGCCGCAGCUGCAGCUCUCACUGUUGCUGUGCCACCUCCUCGUCGCCUGUAGUGUCGACAGAGAAACGCCCGCUGAAUGAGAGGGAAGGAACGGAAGCUGCAGCGGGCGCGCGAGUGCAAGGACUAGGACUAGCGGUUGCAACGUCGGCGCGCGCGCGCGUGCGGCGUACGUCGGGCAUGGAUUGGGAUCUCAAGGCGGUGGGCGCGUGGGACCUCGCGGAGCUGGAGCAGGACCACGCGGCCGCCACGGCAGCAGCGGGGCCGUCCGAGGGCCACGCCACCGAUACUGCCGCGGCGGGCACGGGCACGGGGACGGGGACGGAGAGCCGCCCGCCCGGAGCAGGGGCACCCGCCGAGUGCUCUGUGGACUUGAAGCUGGGCGGGAUGGGCGAGUGCGAGCUCGGCGCGGGCGCGGCGACGGCCUGCAGGGAGAGGGAGGCCGCGGCGGGGGCGACGAAGCGGCCGCGCCCCGCCGGGCAGCAGCAGCAGCAGUGCCCGUCGUGCGCGGUGGAUGGGUGCAGAGCGGACCUGAGCAAGUGCCGCGACUACCACCGGCGGCACAAGGUGUGCGAGGCGCACUCCAAGACCCCCGUCGUCGUCGUGGCCGGCCGCGAGAUGCGCUUCUGCCAGCAGUGCAGCAGAUUCCAUUUACUUGCGGAGUUCGACGCCGACAAGCGCAGCUGCAGAAAGCGUCUGGACGGCCAUAAUCGCCGCCGCAGGAAGCCACAGCCAGACACCAUGGCUUCUGCUAGCUCUAUCACAAGCCAGCAAGGCACACGAUUCUCACCAUUUGCGCCUCCAAGACUGGAGGCGAGCUGGCCGGGGGUGAUGAAAACCGAGGAGAGUCCAUAUCGCAUCACUCACCAAAUCCAUCUGGGCUCCAGCAGCAGCAGCAGGCAGCAGCAUUUCGUGGGAGCCGCCACGUCUGCCUACGCCAAAGAAGGCCCGCGCUUCCCUUUCCUGCAGGAGGGCGAGAUAAGCUUCGCCACCGGCGUGGUGUUGGAGCCGCCGGCGGCGGCUCCAGCGUGCCAGCCGCUCCUCAAGUCGGGAGCACCACCACCCGAGAGCAGCAGCGCCGGCGGCGGGAAGAUGUUCUCCGAUCAGGGGCUGACUCGCGUGCUCGACUCGGACUGUGCUCUCUCUCUUCUGUCAGCGCCGGCCAACUACUCCGGCAUCGACGUCAGCAGGAUGGUCCGCCCGACUGAACACGUCCCCAUGGCCCAGCAGCUCGUGGUCUCGGGCCUGCAGUUCGGCAGCGCGUCGUGGUUCCCGCGCCCCCAGGCUUCCACGGGCGGCUCCUUCGUCUCAUCCUGCCCCGCCGUGCAGGUGGAGGGCGAGCAGCAGCUGAACGCCGUGCUGGGCCCCAACGACAGCGAGGUGAGCAUGAACUACGGCGGGAUGUUCCACGUCGGCGGCGGCAGCGGCGGCGGCGAGGGCUCCUCGGACGGCGGCACCUCGUCGUCGAUGCCCUUCUCGUGGCAGUAGUCGUCGUCACUUGUCAGCAGCCGCUGCGUUCUCUCAUCUUUCGCGCUUCAGACGAUCUGGUAGCCAGGGAGUUCUUUACCCAAGCAUCUGGUGGCAAUCUAGUCUUAGGAUUGGUCACAACUAGGUGUCAGAAAUUGUCUUUUUUUCAGAGUUUUUGGAUGUGUGUGUCUUUUGAUACAAAGGCCGAGAGAUUGUUUUCAAGAGAGUUGUAAUCACUUGAUGUAAAUUUCUUGAAUUUAAUAAAACUAGCAUAUAGCUUGU